rnacentral:rRNA from 1 species
UGCCUACGGGAGGCUGCAGUGGGGAAUCUUAGACAAUGGGCGCAAGCCUGAUCUAGCCAUGCCGCGUGAGCGAUGAAGGCCUUAGGGUUGUAAAGCUCUUUCGUGGGGGAAGAUAAUGACGGUACCCCAAGAAGAAGCCCCGGCUAACUCCGUGCCAGCAGCCGCGGUAAUACGGAGGGGGUUAGCGUUGUUCGGAAUUACUGGGCGUAAAGCGCACGUAGGCGGAUCAGAAAGUCAGAGGUGAAAUCCCAGGGCUCAACCUUGGAACUGCCUUUGAAACUCCUGGUCUUGAGGUCGAGAGAGGUGAGUGGAAUUCCGAGUGUAGAGGUGAAAUUCGUAGAUAUUCGGAGGAACACCAGUGGCGAAGGCGGCUCACUGGCUCGAUACUGACGCUGAGGUGCGAAAGCGUGGGGAGCAAACAGGAUUAGAUACCCUUGUAGUC